ensembl:ncRNA F49E2.9 ncRNA
GGGCAUUCACCAUGAACGCAAAUAAACCGAUUUCCUCCUUCCGAUCCUUUUUGUCACAUAUUCCGAUCAAAUUGUUUGUUAGUGCAAAUCUUAAUAUAACAAUUUUGUUUGUUCAGUAAUUUAUUUCUGGAAUCA